rnacentral:rRNA from 1 species
AUGAACGCUGGCGGCGUGCCUAAUACAUGCAAGUCGAGCGAACAGACGAGGAGCUUGCUCCUCUGACGUUAGCGGCGGACGGGUGAGUAACACGUGGAUAACCUACCUAUAAGACUGGGAUAACUUCGGGAAACCGGAGCUAAUACCGGAUAAUAUAUUGAACCGCAUGGUUCAAUAGUGAAAGACGGUUUUGCUGUCACUUAUAGAUGGAUCCGCGCCGCAUUAGCUAGUUGGUAAGGUAACGGCUUACCAAGGCGACGAUGCGUAGCCGACCUGAGAGGGUGAUCGGCCACACUGGAACUGAGACACGGUCCAGACUCCUACGGAAGGCAGCAGUAGGGAAUCUUCCGCAAUGGGCGAAAGCCUGACGGAGCAACGCCGCGUGAGUGAUGAAGGUCUUCGGAUCGUAAAACUCUGUUAUUAGGGAAGAACAAAUGUGUAAGUAACUAUGCACGUCUUGACGGUACCUAAUCAGAAAGCCACGGCUAACUACGUG